AGGAGGGGAAUGUCAUACUUUUGGAUCAAAGACUUUGGAAAUUAAAAUCUUUGUCAACUCUUACUGGCAUAUUGCUUAUUAGAGGGACCAUGUGCUAUCAUUUUCUUUUUCUUCUCUUUUUUUAAGUGGAUACCGAGGUACCCCUAAUUCUACUGCCGGACACUUGUCCAUUUUUUUCUGCGAGAUUGUCGAGCACUUGCCCCUUUUUAUUUUCUCGAAAUAUCUUUAUUUUUGCAUAGCCCAUGCCUCUAAUGCAAUAAUACUUCGAAAGAGUGAAUCUUUCUGAAUAAAUGUCUUGAUCUUAGGAGCAUGAUAAAUCUCUCAACAAGGGUCUAACUCAUUUUGAACAAACUCAAUACAGAGUAGAUAGCUUUUAUAAUCAUAAUUAAUAUUUUCAGUUUUAUCAGGCAUAUAAAACACUGAGAUGGUAGCUAGAAUUUUGAAGAUUUUGAAAUAAAUUCUCCAAGCAAUAAUGAUAUCAAGAAUAAGAAACUCAUACUCUACCAUCUCACAUUCCACAAUGACUUAAGUAACACAGGGUUUUAAAAUGAUUUUAUAAUAGUUGCAAGUUUUCAGGAAAUAUCACAGAGUGAGAUUAAUCAUAUUUAGAAACAUUUUAAGCUUUGUAAUUUAUCAUGUCGGAAACAAUAUUCUGCAUAUUCUAAGAUAUAAAUAAGUAUGUGUAAAGUGUGUAGAGUGUGUACCUGAAUCGUGGAGUGGUGUAGUCGAAGUGUGUUUAGCAUGUCGAGGGAUCUCCCCCAUACUUGUUUUCUGCUUUCUUACACAAAAAUAAAGUAGAGACACACAAGACAUAAUAAUAAUAAUAAUAAUACUCUU
rnacentral:lncRNA from 1 species